rnacentral:lncRNA from 1 species
UCAAACGAAUCUCAAUGAAACCAUUUCUAACCUGUUUCUACAUGUGCAACUCGAACAAAUAGAUUUUCUCCAGCUGUGGAAAAUUCCUCAAGAUCGAUGAGGUUUUCUUUAGUCCAAACCAUACACCCGAUGGUGCUGACAUAAGAAUAAGCCAAGCAAGAACAGUUGCUCAGGCACCAGCUUAAACAUCCUUCUUGAUCUCCAAUGUCUGAUAAAUAAUCCUCAGAGUCAGGUAGUUUCAUCCGGCUCAUUUGCCGAAAGGCAUCUUGCUUUAAAAUUGUUGAAGCCGAUGUGCUUGUGUUUUUCUGGCAAUACAAUUCUGUCUCUCUUACACAUCCUCCGGUCCAGUUUCCACUGUUCCAUUCUUCAUUUGACUUUGGCACAAACCCAUUUAAGCAUCUGCAAAUAGGCAAACUCAUUGAGUUACAAACUCCAAAAGGACCACAAGUUCCAUAAGUCUCGCAAGUAUUGUUCGGUGCUGCCCUAAGUGCCAACCACACCUUAGCUCCAUCAUCCCAGAUCAUUGGCUUAAGCAAUCCUCCAGGGAAAACAGAUAUGUAUGCAUAGGUCUGCUUGCGUAAAUCAAAAGAUAAGUAAGUGGUCCCCUGCUGAAUAUCUUGCUCGACAUUGAUUGCAUUCGAGUACGAUCGGGCCAUGUUUUUUAUGCCGAUAAAUUUCGAUUUGUCCCAUUGUCCGCCUCUCCAGUAAGGGGUGGAACCAUUCCAAGUGAAAAGUUGAGGCGGCCUCUCCGAUGUUAACCCAGUCAAGAACCUUCCAGGGGACGGAUCACUGUCGCUUCUCCAGGAAAUUAAAUAGAGUUUCUCCCCAGUCCUGGCAUUUACUCCCAUCUUCAUGUCCGGAAGAAGAGUAUCUGUCAGAUCAUCGAAGCUUCUCCAUAUUUUACUAUAAUUUGCAUCCUGCAGUACAAAAUUUCCACUAUCUAAUAGUGCCGCCGAAGUAUGAUUUGACGAACUAGAGACAUUGGUAGACCAAACUAUAUUUUGUUGUCCAUCCAUGAGGUUCAAAUUCCCAUCACUGCCUAUCGUUAAUUUUGCAGACCUAUCUGUGGACGCAAGCGGCCGUUCCCUAUUGACCACCCACACUAUCUUAGAAGGCGGCAAGUUCUUGUACCAUAUGCCAACAUACUGAUUUUCUGACCCGCUCGGCGUGAAGAACCCAAGCUCGAAUAUUUGUCCAGAGGAGACGAGGGUUUGGUUCGGAAAGAGUGGCUCCGAUGCAGUAAUAUUGUAAGCCGAAACGCUGGUUCCAUGACUUGCCUGAAGUAGAAAGAUGACGACCAAGCAAGAGCACCAAGACAUUAUGAGCCGCAUAAUAAGAAUGACUGAAUGAACCUGGUGAAUUCCGUGGGUCGGUUGAUUCUGCACUUUCUGUCGAUCAAGGAUAGAUGAACGAGAUUUCCCGUGAGGCGAGAGGCCCUGGUCCUCAAAGGAUGCUGAAACACAAUGGUUUUCGGAAGACCACAUGUUCAUUAUCUAUUCAACGUGGGGGUUAUUCCUCGCCGCUGUUCAAAUUUGACUCGGCGUCUCAGUUCACAUAUUCGAAUUGCUUAUGUGUUGACCAAGACAUCCACAUGUUAGGUUGGCGUGAGAACAAGGGUAAAGGCUCCAUACGAUCACCUCAGCCGUGCUAACCACUGGGGUUUGCACCACCCUUCCAACAUAGAAGGGGGGAGAUGGGGGUUUCGAAUCCCCACAUUCUCGGAGGGUUGGGGUGGGAACGAUUUAGUUUCAAGUGUGGAUUUCGACUUCCACGCCCUGUAAUGAGGCAGGGCAAAAGUCUGAGGGUGAGAUUUAGAAUAGGAAUAAAGUACGACAAAAAAAAAAAAACUCAGUCAUGCUGAGAAAAUGUCAAAUCUUUGGUAUCUUUUCUGAUCUAACCAUCAAUUUCAAGUGAUUAUACAUGAAUUCUGAACACUUCUUCCAACCAAAUGCAAUGGUCUUUUAUUAUCGCUAUUAUUAUUAAUUGUUUCUGCAAUGUGCAAUAGUAUCCUUAUACUUUUAAUUACUUUGAAUUCAUAUCAAACCAAGCUUUGAGAUGAGUUUACUAAGCCAUUUAAGUAGAUGAGUUAUUUUUUAUUAUUGAACCUUAAACAAAUUCUGGCGGUACCUUAGAAGCUUGUUUUGAUUGUUCUUGCGGGACAAUUAACUCUACCCCAAUCUAAGCUUAUGUCCCAUCGAAAUUGAGGUGCAUAGAUUUCAUUUCUUUAGGUGACAUUUAUAUAGUUAUAAAUAACUUCACAUUAAUUAGUUCGUUGCUUGUCGAAGUUUGGAAAUUUGACAAUAAAUAAACGAACUUCUUUUUUUUUUUAAAGUCGGGCUUUGAUCUGAAAUAGCCCACACCGAACUGAACUGAUUCAGCCAAAUAAUUUGUGAUUUAGGUCUAGCCCACUGAUUGAGCCCAGAAAAUUUACUCUCGAUCUGUUUGGGCUCAGCUGAAAAAUCGCUCUAGGCUUAGCCAGCAAAGUCCUUUGCACCCUCCGCUUCCUACCCGAACCUUGACUUAGUGCAUUGCUACCUUCAUAGUUGAUUUGAUACAUGAGUAGAUUUACUCAUAUAUUAACUGAUAAACACAGAUAUAUGUCUACUAGCUAAUAUAUUAGGGUGUGUUUUCUUCUGGACGCUGCGAUCUCAAGUCAGUUGAUGUGUACUAUUGAGCGGCCAUAGAAAUAGCCUUCUGGACUCGUUGACUGGACCACGACAACGACUAAAGAACCUCUCGCUUGAAUCCGGGUCCAUGAGUCCAAAAUAAUUACGUCUGCUUAUCAUGUGUCCUCUUUACAUUAGUCCACUUGAUCAACUAUGCAAAUGGAUCCGAGCCACGUGUACCCAGACCCGAACAAAUUCGCACACGGACAAACCCCUUGCUCCCGCAUUCGCAAUUUGUCUCCUUUCUCUUCAGUUUAGCCAAGAUAUCGGCGAUGGUUUCCCAUGUCGAUCGCAACAACUUCAACUCCAAAAGCCAUACUGUUUGAUUCUCCGAAUCAAGCCGCUUGGAGCAUUGAGAACAGCUCGAUUGCAUCUUCAGAACUUCGUUCGAUUUCAAGUAUUUCAGUGAUGAUGCAUUUGCUAUGAUGGUGCAUUGAAAUGAAGCAAUUCUUGUUGUUUUUCUGGCUUUAUGGCAAAGGGGUUCAAGAAAAAUUGUGAAUAUAGUUACGGAUGAUGAUCUUGACAGGAUUGUAAAGUGUUUUCGGUUUUGAUGAUGCACUUAAAUUGGGCUAGUGGUGCUUAUAGGGUAGUUCUUGUUGAACUAUCUGGGCUAAUUUACACGUUUAUGUUCUUAACGAAAUGGAACCUAAGUUUAGGUUUCGAUUCAAACAGUCCAUUUCAUCGGCCAUCAGAAAGCUACAAACCAAUCCCACUUGAUCAUGUUGCUGUUUAAGGACCCAUUUGUUUUCACUUCCGAAAACAACUGAUUCUGUUUUUUUUUUUUUUUUUGGAAAUUAAAAAAAAAAGAAUAGAACUUCAUUUAAUAAAUUUUUUGUUCCCAGAAAGAAGAAUCUAUUUUUUUGCUCUCAGGAAUAGAUUUUGCAUAGAAUCAAUAAUUAGAAAAAAGUAACUUCUUGUUCCUGGGAACAAUUCCUAAAAUCUAUUUUUUUUCUUCUUCUCCUCUCUUCUUUUAUUUUCUUCUUCGGCUCGAUGAGGGCCAACAACCUCACUCGAGCAUCACCGGCCCCUAGUGACACCAAGCCACAACAAUUACCAAAUGCAUUUUUUUUUUUUACUUAGAAACUAUUCUAGGGAAUUGAAUUAGAAAAAAAAAAAACACUACUCCUAAAAAGAAAUUAUUCUCGGAAAUAGAAAUGUUACCAUACUCACCCCUAGUGUCCUUCUUUUGUUAAACCAUAUCACUUUCGAACUAUGAGUUUAUAAACUCAAAGAACAUAUAACACCACUUACUAAAAAAGUUGAAACAGACUUACAGAGAUUACUCGAGUUGAUGCACUUGUAAUCUUAUCAAUUAUUCAAAAAAUGGUGUCAAAAUUUGAGUAAAACAUUAUUCCAAUGAAUGACUCAACUAAACCAUGUUCAACUGUCAACGUAUCAACACCUAAACACUACAAAGAAGCUUGUUUAUGGCGUAUGUUUGUCUUUUGUUAUUACACAUAUUAUUCGUUACUAGUAACUUGUACACAAAACUCUGAAAUUUCGUUCCAAACAAACCUACUUACAAAUUGAGUUUCGUCAAAGCCUACCACUCCACACAGCCUUAAACUACCAUUUCCACAAAAAUCAUAACUCAAAAACUCCUUAAUCGAACCUUGUAGUUUAAAAUUUGCUUAACUCCAAAUUUGUGCCAUAAUUUCCAAAAUUACUCCGAUUAAAUGAAUAAUCAACAUGAAUACUUACUAGGUGUUAUGCUUCAUAGUUAAUUUGGUUUGUUGAUGUGUCCGGAUCGAUUACUCAUGUACGAUUUUUUCCUUCUUCUCUCUUCUUCCCCUCUUCCUUCUUCACGGUCGGGCUUCUCGUUUUUCUUCUUUUACUUGUUCUAACGCUGCUUUGACUUCACGUGAGAUAUGUAGAGAAGAAAAAAUGAAGAUGGGCUGAGUUUGUCUAUUAGGGCCUAGGCUUGAUGGGCCAUCUAUUACACCUCCCAGCUACAUGCGAAGCUCCUCUGAACAAAUUUUGCUCCAUCAUUCAAGCUUUGGGCCACUUUAUGUUUUCUUUCAUCUUCUUGGAUAACUCAGAGUUACUCAAAUAAACACUAGGCUACAGUUCUCAGUUAGGAUGAAAUUCAAAAUAUGAUAAUACAUAUCCUAUCUUGCAUUUGGUAUUUAUUUAAGACAUGAUAAAGUCGAAUAUAAGGGGGAUAUAGGCUUAAUUAAAUCAUUCAAUGAAGGAGGUGGGAUAUACGUGAAUAAGAUUUCUAAUUUCCAUAAUAGAAAAUUCAAACUUCUUAAAUUAACAAAAUUAAAAUUAUCUUUCAAUAUAAAAAUUAUUUGAUUUCUAAUAUAAGAAAUUCAAAAUAAAAAAAAUAGUUUUUUCUUAUUUUUAUUUAUAUUUUCGAAUUUAAUUCUAUCUUAAACAUAUUUUACGUAUAUUAGUAUAGCUUAUUACUUAAUUAAAAUUUUAUUAGAGAAUGAUGGAAGGGGAAGGAAGAAAUAAAAAAAGAAAUUAAUUAAUAUUAAAUAAAUAAAUAAAUAUAAAAUAAGCAAGAGUAUUGCGAGAGAUUCUCACUCUCUAUUUGUAAAAAUUUUGGUUAAUUUAUACUGAUAUGAUAGUUAUACCAAAUAAUGUAUAAUGAUAUAAUAUGCAUUUAUCUGACUUUAUUACCGUAAUCAUCAUACAGUUGAUAGGAUAUAAUAAAACCCUUAGAUUUCAUAUCAUAUUCUAUGCAGUCCUAUUCUGAUUAGAAAUCCGAACGACCAAACGUAGGCUAAUAUCUUGGAAAAUAACAACAAAAUCAGCUGCAAAUGAAGGAAAAUAAAAAUGAAAAAACAUAGCCAUCAUCUUCCUUCGACCAUUGUAUUAGUGACAAUGUUAACAGACCAAAUGCUUUGUUGUUGCGGUGGAAUAGCGUGAUUUCGCAUUUCAGUUUGGAAAGUGAAUAUAGGCUGUCUCGGCUGAGGAAGAUCUGAUUCACCGCUUAGCAUUAGAACCACAUUCGUCGUGUUUGGUCUAUCCAUAGCAUGGUCCUGGACACAGAGAAGCCCAAUGUGGAUGCAUCUUAUUACCUCCAAUGGAAAGCUAAGAGCAAUUGCUUCAUCCAGUAGGUCCAAUGCUUUGCCUUCACUCCAUAAUUGCCAUGCCUACAGGAGAACACUGUCAUAAUAUUGCAGGGAACUUUUUAUAUGGAUUAAGGUUGAAAUUUGGCACUUACGUAGGAAAGGAGAUUGAGAUAUCCUUGAUCAUACAGGGCUGAGUUCUUUCUGCCACUAACAAUCUCCAGUAGCAACACUCCGAAGCUAUACACAUCAGACCCCUCGGAAAAUAUUCCGCCCAUAGCGUACUCAGGAGACAUAUAACCACUGCAUUGAUUUGAACUUAGUAUUUACCCUUCUAAUUGUAUUGAGGGACAACGAGAUGAAACAUUUCUAAAGUGACAGCAUCCUUGUGCUAAAUCAAUCAUUUCUAUUUGCUUUCGAAAGAUCAACUCAAAAGAUUGAUUAUUUAAGUAGGGCUAGAGAACUUACAAGGUUCCAACAAUUUUGUGAGUGUUCACCAAAAUUUGAGUGCCCUCGAACAUUCGUGCCAGCCCAAAAUCUGAAAUUUUUGGGUUCAUCUUUUCAUCCAAGAGAAUAUUGCUCACUUUUAAGUCACGGUGUAUGACCCUAAGGCAAGAAUCUCGAUGGAGGUAGAGGAGCCCCCUUGCAAUUCCCUCAAUGAUUUGGAAUCGUUUGCCCCAUUUGAGUUCUACCUUCUUUUUUGAAUCUAACAAACAUAAGAAACAGGAACAGUUUUCAUAUUUUUGUGCUAUUUCGAAAAAUACAUUAUUAAAAAAUAGUUAUUCAGAGAGAAAAACCAACCAAAAAGAAAGGAGUCCAAGCUUUUGUUUGGCAAGUACUCGUAUACCAAAAUUUUUUCAUCUCCUUCAUUGCAGCAACCAAUGAGUUUAACCAGAUUUCGAUGUUGGAGUUUUGAUAUUAGGACUAUCUCAUUCUCGAACUCUUGAACACCUUGGGCCGAGCUACUAGAAAGUCUUUUCACAGCUACCUCUUUCCCAUCAUUCAUCUUUCCCUGUUUCACAAAUCACGUAGCUUUUAGACCUUGAACUAUCUCUAUAUUUUCCAUUUAAUGAAUUUCCUGCAAAAUGGUGUUACCCUGUAAACAGAGCCAAACCCUCCUUGCCCGAGUUUACUUGUCGUGCUGAACUUGUUUGUAGCAAGUAGUAUGCUAUCAAAACUGAAAACAGUCAAUUCCAGUGCAUCAUCUUCCUUCAAUUGCUCUUUCCAUGCAUUUCCUUGUAGCAGUUUGCCUGGCUUUUCAGGUUUACCUAGCAAGUCAAGGAGCCUUAAGAUUUUUCUGAAGUUUUUUGUGUUUAUUAUUGGUGAAGAAACAGCUUACUAUCUUCAUAGCAACAUAAGAUUAAACAAAGUAGGAGCACAACCCUCUGUAAACACUGAUGUGGCUCUUUUUUAGUACCUCUUUUCUUAGCUCUCCAUUUGCAAAGACCAAAAACAAAUACUGCAAAGAACAGGAUCCCAGCAACAGUACUCAGGCUGAUGACAACGGCUUUCUGCGACGAUCCUCCUUAAAAGGGAAAGAGAGUUAUGCAAAAGACAAUUGAUGUUGACUCAAACGCAUCUCAAUGAAACCAUUUCUAACCUGUUUUUACGUGUGCAACUCGAACAAAUAGAUUUUCUCCAUCUGUGGAAAAUUCCUCAAGAUCGAUGAGGUUUUCUUUAGUCCAAACCAUACACCCGAUGGUGCUGACAUAAGAAUAAGCCAAGCAAGAACAGUUGCUUAGGCACCAGCUUAAACAUCCUCCUUGAUCUCCAAUGUCUGAUAAAUAAUCCUCAGAGUCAGGUAGUUUCAUCCGGUUCAUUUGCCAAAAGGCAUCUUUCUUUACAAUUGUUGAAGCCGAUGUGCUUGCGUUUUUCUGGCAAUACAAUUCUGUCUCUCUUACACAUCCUCCGGUCCAGUUUCCACUGUUCCAUUCUUCAUUUGACUUUGGCACAAACCCAUUUAAGCAUCUGCAAAUAGGCAAACUCAUUGAGUUACAAACUCCAAAAGGACCACAAGUUCCAUAAGUCUCGCAAGUAUUGUUCGGUGCUGCCCUAAGUGCCAACCACACCUUAGCUCCAUCAUCCCAGUACAUUAUCUUAAGCAAUCCUCCAGGCAAAACAGACAUGUAUGCAUAG